rnacentral:tRNA from 1 species
GCUGAUAUGGCUCAGUUGGUAGAGCGCACCCUUGGUAAGGGUGAGGUCCCCAGUUCGACUCUGGGUAGCAGCACCA